UACGAAGGGGGGCUAGCGUUGCUCGGAAUCACUGGGCGUAAAGCGCACGUAGGCGGAUUGCUAAGUCAGGGGUGAAAUCCUGGAGCUCAACUCCAGAACUGCCUUUGAUACUGGCGAUCUUGAGUCCGGGAGAGGUGAGUGGAACUGCGAGUGUAGAGGUGAAAAUUCGUAGAUAUUUCGGAAGAAACACCAGUGGCGAAGGCGGCUCACUGGCUCGAUACUGACGCUGAGGUGCGAAAAGCGUGGGGGAGCAAACAGG
rnacentral:rRNA from 1 species